AACGAACGCUGGCGGCAGGCCUAACACAUGCAAGUCGAACGCACCGCAAGGUGAGUGGCGCACGGGUGAGUAACACGUGGGAAUGUACCCUUUGGUUCGGAAUAACGUCUGGAAACGGACGCUAAUACCGGAUGAGCCCUGCGGGGGAAAGAUUUAUCGCCAAAGGAGCAGCCCGCGUCUGAUUAGCUAGUUGGUGGGGUAAAGGCCUACCAAGGCGACGAUCAGUAGCUGGUCUGAGAGGAUGAUCAGCCACACUGGGACUGAGACACGGCCCAGACUCCUAUGGGAGGCAGCGGUGGGGAAUAUUGGACAAUGGGCGCAAGCCUGAUCCAGCCAUGCCGCGUGAGUGAUGAAGGUCUUAGGAUUGUAAAGCUCUUUCACCGAUGAAGAUAAUGACGGUAGUCGGAGAAGAAGCCCCGGCAAACUUCGUGCCAGCAGCCGCAGUAACAC
rnacentral:rRNA from 1 species